GAAUUGUGGCUUAGUGGUGGAGCACUCGCCUGGCACAUGGGAGGCUCUGGGUUCAAUCCUCAGCACCA
rnacentral:tRNA from 1 species